rnacentral:rRNA from 1 species
AUUGAACGCUGGCGGAAUGCUUUACACAUGCAAGUCGAACGGCAGCACGGACUUCGGUCUGGUGGCGAGUGGCGAACGGGUGAGUAAUGUAUCGGAACGUGCCUAGUCGUGGGGGAUAACGUAGUGAAAAUUACGCUAAUACCGCAUACGAUCUAUGGAUGAAAGCGGGGGAUCGCAAGACCUCGCGCGAUUGGAGCGGCCGAUAUCAGAUUAGGUAGUUGGGGGGGUAAAGGCCCACCAAGCCAACGAUCUGUAGCUGGUCUGAGAGGACGACCAGCCACACUGGAACUGAGACACGGUCCAGACUCCUACGGGAGGCAGCAGUGGGGAAUUUUGGACAAUGGGCGAAAGCCUGAUCCAGCCAUUCCGCGUGCAGGAUGAAGGCCCUCGGGUUGUAAACUGCUUUUGUACAGAACGAAAAGGUUUCUACUAAUACUAGGAGCUCAUGACGGUGCUGUAAGAAUAAGCACCGGCUAACUACGUGCCAGCAGCCGCCGUAA